ACCAUGCAGGUAGGAAGAGGUGAAGUCGGUACACACAUGACAAGCGUAGUGUUGUAAUGGACCAUGUAAAAGAAGAGCAAACAUGUGAAACCCGCUGGGUAUACAUCCGGACGGCUUGUAUCUCGUGCCCAUACUCUAUACUUAUAAGUUGCAGUUUUCUGCACACGACGCCCCGUAACUCGCAGUGAGAUAUUUCGAAUUCUUGAAUCUCCAGUAGCAAAUGAAUGCGACGACGACCGUCAUGGAUGCUGAGAACGUCGCGAGACAACGGACCCGCAUAUAGAUGCAUUGGAUGCGGUUGCUACGCGAUCGUCACUCAUCAUAGUCUACAUUGGAAAAUAAAUUCAAACUAAAUUGGGCUUCAAUUGGUCUGUCUGUCGGCUCACCGACUGACUGAACGAACGAAAG
rnacentral:misc_RNA from 1 species